GAUGAACGCUGGCGGCGUGCUUAACACAUGCAAGUCGAACGAUGAAGCCCAGCUUGCUGGGUGGAUUAGUGGCGAACGGGUGAGUAACACGUGAGUAACCUGCCCUUAACUCUGGGAUAAGCCUGGGAAACUGGGUCUAAUACCGGAUAGGAGCGUCCACCGCAUGGUGGGUGUUGGAAAGAUUUAUCGGUUUUGGAUGGACUCGCGGCCUAUCAGCUUGUUGGUGAGGUAAUGGCUCACCAAGGCGACGACGGGUAGCCGGCCUGAGAGGGUGACCGGCCAAACGGGGACUGAGAACCGGCCGAGGCCCCUAGGGGGAGGAGGGGGGGGGAAUUUGGCAAAAGGGGCGAAAGCCUGAUGCAGGGGCGCGGGGUGGGGGAUGAGGGCCUUCGGGUUUAAAACUCCUUUGAGUGGGAAAGAAGGGAAGGGGAGGGAACCGGCAAGAGAAGGACCGGCAAACUCGGG
rnacentral:rRNA from 1 species